AUAGAAUCUCUCUCUCCCCCAUGUAUUUAUUACGUCUCUUAUCUUAUUUAUUAGUAAAUAAAAUCUUCUCUCGUCUCUCCCCUUUAUUAGGUAACAAAAUCAGAGAGUUGUGUCUCCUCUUUGGUUUUCUCUCCCAAAGCCCACAAUCUGCUCUAAGAGAACUCAAAGAGCUCCCUUUCUCUGUUAUUUCUUUGGCUCCAGGUAUGAAACGACCUUAGGACUUCAUAAUUCUCGAUCGAUUGAAGAAGUCUUUAAGGAUUUCAGAUGAAGGCACGCUGGGAAAAUCAAGGCUCUCACCACUGAUAUCGAGACCAAUAUUUUACUAAUUUCCUGCUCUGAUCAUGAGACAAUGGCCAUGGAUGACUUGACGAAUCUUCAAGAAGAUGAAAUUGACCAUGGACCCGACUGCAGUUGGGACGAUUGUGCCUAUGGAGGCCAAUUCUUCUGAGGAAUAUGAUAGAUUAUUCCUAUGUCUUUUUGUGUAUAUAUUUUCGCCGAUGCGUACUCUGCUGUAAAUAGUCUAAUGCUGAGAUAUUAUAAACUUGUAAAUAUUCUCUUUUUGUAAGGUAUAUAAUUCUCACUUGGAUAAUUGUAUAUAUAUCUUAUUACUUAGU